rnacentral:rRNA from 1 species
UUUCCUUCGGGGAUGAAGGGUUUAUGACUGAGUGGCGGACGGGUGAGUAACGCGUGGGCAACCUGCCCCGUACCGGGGGACAACAGCCGGAAACGGCUGCUAAUACCGUAUACGUUUUAAGGACCGCAUGGUCCGUAAAACAAAACUCCGGUGGUACGGGAUGGGCCCGCGUCUGAUUAGCUCGUUGGCGGGGUAACGGCCCACCAAGGCGACGAUCAGUAGCCGGCCUGAGAGGGCGGCCGGCCACAUUGGGACUGAGACACGGCCCAGACUCCUACGGAAGGCAGCAG